rfam:Gossypium hirsutum cultivar TM-1 unplaced genomic scaffold scaffold189.1, whole genome shotgun sequence
UAUUAAAAUUUUUUUUCAAUUCUACUAUUAAAAACUGGUUUUGCUAACAGAAUAACCAAACAGUUACAUGUGACGUAUAUCGUGCCUCAUUCUACAAGGACCAAUUUUUAAUAGUAAAAGUGGAUGAAAUUUUUAACA